GAUGAACGCUGGCUACAGGCUUAACACAUGCAAGUCGAGGGGAAACGACGGGGAAGCUUGCUUCCCCGGGCGUCGACCGGCGCACGGGUGAGUAACGCGUAUCCAACCUGCCUCUGACUGAGGGAUAACCCGUCGAAAGUCGGCCUAAUACCUCAUGGCAUCGUCUGCGGGCAUCCAACGACGAUUAAAGAUUUCAUCGGUCAGAGAUGGGGAUGCGUCUGAUUAGCUUGUUGGCGGGGUAACGGCCCACCAAGGCGACGAUCAGUAGGGGUUCUGAGAGGAAGGUCCCCCACAUUGGAACUGAGACACGGUCCAAACUCCUACGGGAGGCAGCAGUGAGGAAUAUUAGUCAAUGGGCGAGAGCCUGAACCAGCCAAGUAGCGUGCAGGAUGACGGCCCUAUGGGUUGUAAACUGCUUUUAGGCGGGGAUAAAGUGAGGGACGUGUCCUUCAUUGCAGGUACCGCAUGAAUAAGGACCGGCUAAUUCCGUG
rnacentral:rRNA from 1 species